AUAGCCGGCCUAGCUCAAUUGGUAGAGCAACUGACUUGUAAUCAGAGGGUCAGAGGUUCGAAUCCUCUAUGGCU
rnacentral:tRNA from 1 species